UGAAACAGAGGAGCAAAACUUUGUGAUGACAACAAGAAAAAUAAACAUAAACGUAGACAAUACACGAUUACAAUUACUGUAAUCAGGGAUGAAAUUUGAUGAUACAUUAAGAGUCCAGGAGUCAAAAUCAUCUAGAACAAUUUGGUUACAUGUGGUUAAAGUAUGUUUGAGUAUGUUUAUAUGAGAGCCAGUGACAUAAUCCGUGUUCAGUGAUAUGCUGGUCAGGUAUGUUUGCGAUUUAGUGUUCAGGGACACGCAAAGGGAGCAAUAAAGGGGACAGAUUGCAAAAAUAGAUACAACGUGAAUGUGAGCAAAUGUGUCCAGUGGAUGAAUUAACAAAUGAAGAGGUGAGAGGAUGAUGAGUCAGACCAAAGGGUGAGCGUGGGCAAACUGAGAUGGACUUGCAAUCAACCUAAAACUGCACAGCUUUUAUAGAGCGCAUAUAUUGAGGAAAGGAUUCCAGUGAGAGAGCAAGCGCACGCUCGACGGAUUGACUAGUUUGGUCUAGCUACC